CAAGGGGAAAGUGAUCCCCCUUUACGUCGGGGGGCUCCCCCUUGCGCUGACGGGAACCCGCGCCGCGUAGCACGCCGGGAAAUGCAGUUGUAAUCCUGCUGCCACUUCGGCACCGUACCCUACCCGCGGCAGGAUGGGGACUACAACUCCCAGCGUGCAUUGCGCAGCCCGUCCGGGAGCGGUCAGUUAUGUCAUCUCGCAUCGCACCGUUCGAUGGGAUAUGUAGUUUUCUUGGCAGCCGUUAGCCCGCUUGACCAACGUUACCACCCUUGUCUGGAGACUACAGAGCCGCAAAAAAGGAGCAGGAGUGGAAGAGUCUAACAACACCACGUGAUGUUCGAUACAGGGGCUUGUUAAAGGGGUAGAGGCCUUAGGCAGCCCUCCAGGAGUCCAUUGUACAGAGGGUUGUGACGGGGAAGACACUCCCCGCACUGACAACAGCGCCCCCGGCGAGGCGCAGGGCGACGCGGCCGGGUGGGACGCAGGGGAGAGCAGCCGGCAGGAAGGAAAGCCGCCGAGCCAGGAGGCAGGCAACCCCGGGAGGAACGCCGGAGGACCAGAGGAGGAGCGCUGGACCCCUGCAGCCCAGACCCAACACGGGACGACCCACCCCGGGGACCCGAGGAUGGGGGCAGGUGGCAGACGACUCUGACCCCCCCACCCAAGGAGGGAAGAGGGCCGAGCCCGCUGGAGGGCAAACCCCUGUUGCCGGCCCGUGAGUGGGGCCGAGGGUGGAGAGCCCUUCCCGUCCCCUGGCUGAGAGUAAGCCAGGGCGCUGCGGCAGCUGCCAUAGGAGCAGAGACAAAGGGACAGAGACAAAGGGGCAGAGACAGGGGGCUAGAGGCACAGGUACAGGACAUCGCAUCUCCCACUGGCGUGGAUUGAGACACCGCUUCCCACAGCUUCCAUUGGCCGGGAAUGGCGAUCAGUGGCCAACAGGAGCUGCAGUCACCUGUACCUAUGGAGGCACGGGUAAGUACAGCAGUGGUGGGUGCCAAGGGCUAACCUCAGUGAACUGGAUCCAGACCACAGGCCAGUAUUUGCCCACUACUGACCUAAGAAGAGAAUACAACAUGAGCAGGAAACGAUUAUUUGUCAUUCACAAUUUGCAAGCAUUGCACAUAAAUGCAUUUUGGUUACAUGUAGAGAAUGGAGGCUUAAAGGUAUUUUACUGUGCAAAUAGCAUUCAGUAUUUCCUUUUCUGAAUUAGUUUGACAAUGUACACACAAAGGAACCUCACAUGGGCCCA